rnacentral:rRNA from 1 species
AUGGUGAGUAAGAAAUUGCAGUCUAAAUUCGUGUGUAUUGAUGUUACUCUUAAACAGAUUGAAGGUGCCAUCUCAUAUUUUGAGAAGUACAGAAAUGAAGGCUUUGCUACUAGCUUGGAUAUUGCGAGAUCUAUUGCAAUCGACAUGGGUGUACAACCUUUAUUUCCUGUAAAGCGGCGUAUUACCAGAAAAAGACAAUUUGAUGAAAUUAAUGGCAAUGAAGAAAAUGACCAGAAUCAAGAAGCGCAAGAAAUUAAAUACUUUUUGGUGAUGAUUGAUGUUGCAAUUGCUUCCUUGACUAGUAGAUUUGAGGAACUGAAGUCAUUUGGGAGCAUAUUUGGAUUCUUGUUCAACUCAAAAGAAUUGAAGUUGUUGGGUGAUAAUGAUCUAAGAAAAUGUUGCACUAGUUUUGUCAACACUUUCACUCAUGGUAAGUCAGCAGAUGUUGAUUUAGAUGAUUUUGUUUCUGAACUAAAAGUAUUGCAGAUGACAUUGCCAAACACACUCAUGUCAGCGGAUGUAUUUGAGUUUGUUAGAGUUGCGGAUUCUUAUCCAAAUGUCUCAAUUGCUUAUCGUAUCCUCUUGACUGUGCCGGUCACUGUUGCAUCAGCUGAAAGGAGUUUCACAAAAUUGAAGUUACUAAAAAAUUAUUUGAGGUCAACAAUGUCCCAAGACAGACUGAAUGGUUUGGCCAUGUGCUGCAUCGAGAAGAAUAUGUUGGACAAUAUUGAUCCUGACAUUGUCAUUGAUGAUUUUGCGUCAAAAAAUGCACGGAAGUCUCGCUUCUCAUGA